rnacentral:rRNA from 1 species
ACUCAAAUGAAUUGACGGGGACCUGCACAAGCGGUGGAGCAUGUGGUUUAAUUCGAAACAAAGCGAAAAACCUUACCAGGAUUUGACAUCCUAACUGCACACUGUUGGAAACAAUGGUUUCUUCGAGAGUGUUAGGACAGGUGCUGCAUGGCUGUCGUCAGCUUGUACCGUGAGGCGCACCCUUAAGUGGGUCAACAAGCGCAACCCCCAUUGUGUGUUAAAUAUUUCACACGAAACUGCCCGCUAAAAGCGUGGAGGAAGGCGGGGAUGACGUCAAGUCAGCACGGCCCUUAUGUCCUGGGCUACACACAUCCUACAAUGGAUGCUAACAACGAGCUGCAAGCAGGCAACUGUAAGCAAAUCUCCCAAAAGCAUCCUCAGUUCGGAUUGAGGGCUGCAAUUUGCCCUCAUGAAGCUGAAAUCGCUAGUAAUCGCGGAUCAGCAGGCCGCGGUGAAUACGUUCUCAGGUCUUGUACACACCGCCCGU